rnacentral:lncRNA from 1 species
UGCUACCCUGUGCUUGUAUUGCUAGAUUCACUGUUGCACUUGUAAUGGUAUGUGAUUGACUGCAAAUGCACAAAGCAGGAACCAUGUUCUGCUGCUGCACUAUUUCCUAACCUACAUCAGAUUUAUAUAUGUACAAUGGCCAGGUCUUGUGUAACUAAUCAGAGUUAUUAUGUACAAUGCCCAUGCCCAGGUCUUGUGUAACUAAUCAAAGCUAUGUACAAUGCCCAGAUCUUGUGUAACUAGUCAGACUUCUUGGAUUACGGUUUAUGAGUAGGAUCUGAUGAGCCUGAGACCCUGGAAGGAGCCCUUGAGCAGGCUGCCCAGGACGGACACUGCGCCGCCCUCGGCCUCGUGCUUGACCGACGCGUCGUG